rnacentral:tRNA from 1 species
GAUUGUUUAGUUUAUAAAAAACGAGUAUUUUGAAAGUACUUAAAAAGAAAAUAACUCUUAACAAUCG